UGGGGGAUAUUGCACAAUGGGGGGAACCCUGAUGCAGCGACGCCGCGUGAGUGAAGAAGUAAUUCGUUAUGUAAAGCUCUAUCAGCAGGGAAGAAUAAAUGACGGUACCUGAGUAAGAAGCCCCGGCUAACUACGUGCC
rnacentral:rRNA from 1 species